ACUGUGCUAUCCGAGGGAGGGCGGCAUGCUUACCACAUGCAAGUCGAACGGAGCACCCUUGACUGAGGUUUCGGCCAAAUGAUAGGAAUGCUUAGUGGCGGACGGGUGAGUAACGCGUGAGCAACCUGCCUUUCAGAGGGGGACAACAGUUGGAAACGACUGCUAAUACCGCAUGACACAUUGGGAGGGCAUCCUCUUGAUGUCAAAGAUUUAUCGCUGAAAGAUGGGCUCGCGUCUGAUUAGGUAGUUGGUGAGGUAACGGCCCACCAAGCCGACGAUCAGUAGCCGGACUGAGAGGUUGAACGGCCACAUUGGGACUGAGAUACGGCCCAGACUCCUACGGGAGGCAGCAGUGGGGAAUAUUGGGCAAUGGGCGCAAGCCUGACCCAGCAAUGCCGCGUGAAGGAAGAAGGCUUUCGGGUUGUAAACUUCUUUUGUCAGGGAAGAGUAGAAGACGGUACCUGACGAAUAAGCCACGGCUAACUACGUGCCAGCAGCCGCGGUAAUACGUAGGUGGCGAGCGUUGUCCGGAUUUACUGGGUGUAAAGGGCGUGCAGCCGGGAAUGCAAGUCAGAUGUGAAAUCUAUGGGCUCAACCCAUAAAUUGCAUUUGAAACUGUGUUUCUUGAGUGCUGGAGAGGCAGACGGAAUUCCUAGUGUAGCGGUGAAAUGCGUAGAUAUUAGGAGGAACACCAGUGGCGAAGGCGGUCUGCUGGACAGUAACUGACGGUGAGGCGCGAAAGCGUGGGGAGCAAACAGGAUUAGAUACCCUGGUAGUCCACGCUGUAAACGAUGGAUACUAGGUGUGCGGGGACUGACCCCCUGCGUGCCGCAGUUAACACAAUAAGUAUCCCACCUGGGGAGUA
rnacentral:rRNA from 1 species